UACGGGGGGUGCGAGCGUUAUCCGGAAUCAUUGGGUUUAAAGGGUCCGUAGGCGGUUUUGUAAGUCAGUGGUGAAAGCCCAUCGCUCAACGGUGGAACGGCCAUUGAUACUGCAAGACUUGAAUUAUUAGGAAGUAACUAGAAUAUGUAGUGUAGCGGUGAAAUGCUUAGAGAUUACAUGGAAUACCAAUUGCGAAGGCAGGUUACUACUAAUGGAUUGACGCUGAUGGACGAAAGCGUGGGUAGCGAACAGG
rnacentral:rRNA from 1 species